UGCAGUCGAGCGAGACCUUCGGGUCUAGCGGCGGACGGGUUAGUAACGCGUGGGAAUAUACCCUUCACUACGGAAUAGCCUCGGGAAACUGGGAGUAAUACCGUAUACGCCCUUUGGGGGAAAGAUUUAUCGGUGAAGGAUUAGCCCGCGUCUGAUUAGAUAGUUGGUGGGGUAAUGGCCUACCAAGUCUACGAUCAGUAGCUGGUUUGAGAGGAUGAUCAGCAACACUGGGACUGAGACACGGCCCAGACUCCUACGGGAGGCAGCAGUGGGGAAUCUUAGACAAUGGGCGCAAGCCUGAUCUAGCCAUGCCGCGUGAGUGACGAAGGCCUUAGGGUCGUAAAGCUCUUUCGCCAGAGAUGAUAAUGACAGUAUCUGGUAAAGAAACCCCGGCUAACUCCGUGCCAGCAGCCGCGGUAAUACGGAGGGGGUUAGCGUUGUUCGGAAUUACUGGGCGUAAAGCGCACGUAGGCGGAUUGGAAAGUAUGGGGUGAAAUCCCAGGGCUCAACCCUGGAACUGCCUUGUAAACUCCCAGUCUAGAGUUCGAGAGAGGUGAGUGGAAUUCCAAGUGUAGAGGUGAAAUUCGUAGAUAUUUGGAGGAACACCAGUGGCGAAGGCGGCUCACUGGCUCGAUACUGACGCUGAGGUGCGAAAGUGUGGGGAGCAAACAGGAUUAGAUACCCUGGUAGUCCACA
rnacentral:rRNA from 1 species